AAGGAGACAUGACUUAGCCUUGCUUCAGGGGUUACUAGAAAUUUCAUUUCUUUUGCUAUUUCUUCUGGUUGAAACUCUGUUACAAGACUUUUGAUCACGUGUGACAAAACCCAGAAAACUCUCUUUUGGUCUGAAUCUGCCGACAGGGGAAAACAGACCCUUCAGCUUCCUGUUCUUUAUCUCAUGGUUGAUUAAUAGAGAUUAAAACUCUAGGCUCUCAGAAGUAUGCCGUAUUUGGGAAAAACAUCCAUUUCCUGUUUUGAAGCCUAUAAUUUAUGUUUGCAGCUUGCAAAACCACAGUGUAAACCACCUCAUAUAAAAGCUUGUAUUUAAAAGCUCCAAAGAUAUUUAGAAUGGGGUUGAUACUGCUUGCGAUAUUCUCCAUCAUAUUAGUUUCCUAACUUGUCUGGUUUUUGCCUCAGAUAGUUUGGUGCCAUGACCCAGGAUCUGAACUUAUCUUCAGAUUUUCAUUUACCCUAGCCAGGUCAUAAGGCCAUUUGGAGCCUUUUGUACUCCAUUUCUGGCUGGAAGUCCAGAGAUCUAAAGUUUCUUUGGAGUUUCCAUCAAGACACAGUUUGCACUGACCAUCACCAUGGCCUCCAGUUUUCAACUGGGCACUUAGAACCUAUUAUGUCUCACUGCUUGCUGCUUGUCAAGUCCAGAGUGAUAGCAUACCUAAGAGGACCAAGAAAGUCAACACUUUUUUACCUUCCACAAAGGAGAAUAACAUCCCUGGGCAGUCAUGCCUCAGGGGUACCCUGAAUCUGUGUACUGUUUUUCUCAGGAAAGGAUUUACUGAAAAGAGGCACCAAUUUUCUCCAUACAAUUUAUAUGAGUCCCAGUCUAUUCUUUCUCAUGACUUCAAUAAGAGUUUUGUGUCUAGGUGUCUAUGGACAAUUAGUUUUUGACAAAGAUGCCAAGACCAUUCAAUGGGAAAAGAACAGUGUUUUUAAUAAAUUAAUCUGGGAUAAUUUAAUAUAGUCACAUGGAUGGCAUAUGGAUUCUUAACUCACACUAUGUAAAAAUUAACUCAAAAUGGAUAAAAAAAUGUGAGUGUAAGAACUAAGACUAUGGAGUUCUUAGAAGAAAACAGUGGUAAAUCUUCAUGAACUCAGUUGUGGCAGUGGAUUUUUAGAUAUGACCUCAAAAACAUAGGCAACAAGAGGAAAAACAGAUAAAUUGAGCUUCAUCAAAAUAAAGAAAUAAAAAGCAUUCAAAUUGGCAGAGAAUAAGUCAAACUCUCAAUCUUCAUACAUGACACGAUACUUUAUGUGGAAAACUCAAAAGACUUCACCCUAAAAUUGCUAGAACUCAAACAGCCAUUCAGCAAUGUAAGAGGAUAAAAAAAUCGGUGCACAGAAAUAAGUUGCAUUUCUAUACACUAACAAUGUGACUGAAGAAAGAGAAAUUAAGGAAUCAGUCCCAUUUACAAUUGCACCAAAAACCAUAAGAUACCUAAGAAUAAACCUAACCAAAGAGGUAAAAUAUCUGUACUUUAAAAACUACAGAACACUUACAAAAGAAGCUGAGAAAGACACAAAGAAAUGGAAAAAUAGUCCAUGCUCAUGGAUUGGAAGAAUAAAUAUUGUUAAAAUAUCUAUGCUAUCCAGAGCAAUCUAUACAUUCAAAGCAAUCCUUAUAAAAAUAAUAUCAACAUUAUACAGCUGGGACAAACAAUCCUAAAAUUUGUAUGGAACCAGAUAGCCAGGGGAAUGUUAAAAAAGAAAACAAAAGCUGGGGGUAUCACAAUGUCUGACUAUAUUACAAAGCUGUGAUCAUCAAGAUAGCAUAGUAUUGGCACAAAAACAGACAUGUAGAUCAAUGGAACAGAAUACAGACCCCAGAUACGGACCCUCAACUCUAUGGUAAACUAAACUUCAACAAAGCAACAAUUUUUCAAUGGAAAGAAAGACAGUGUUUCUGGAAAACAGUAUGGAGUUUCCCCCAAAAGUUGAAAAUAGAUCUAUCCUAUGACCCAACAAUUGCACUACUGGGUAUUUACCCUAAAGAUACAAUUGUAGUGAUCUGAAGGAAGGGAACAUGCACCCAAAUGUAUAUAACAGCCAUGUCCACAAUACCCAAACUAUGGAAAGAACCUAGAUGUCCAUCAACAGAUGAAUGGAUAAAGAAGAUGUGAUAUAUAUACAAAUGGAAUACUAUGAAGCCAUCAAAAACUGAAACCUUGCCAUUUGCAGCAACAUGGAUGGAACUAGAGGGUAAUAUGCUAAGCAAAAUAAGUCAAUCAGAGAAAAAAUUAUCAUAUGGUCUCUCUGAUAUGAGGAAUUUGAGAGGCAGAA